CAUCCAGACUCCUACGGGAGGCAGCAGUGGGGGAUAUUGCACAAUGGGGGAAACCCUGAUGCAGCGACGCCGCGCGAGCGAUGAAGUAUUUCGGUAUGUAAAGCUCUAUCAGCAGGGAAGAAAAUGACGGUACCUGACUAAGAAGCCCCGGCUAACUACGUGCCAGCAGCCGCGGUAAUACGUAGGGGGCAAGCGUUAUCCGGAUUUACUGGGUGUAAAGGGAGCGUAGACGGCCAUUCAAGCCAGAUGUGAAAGCCCGGGGCUCAACCCCGGGACUGCAUUUGGAACUGUGUGGCUAGAGUGUCGGAGAGGCAGGCGGAAUUCCUAGUGUAGCGGUGAAAUGCGUAGAUAUUAGGAGGAACACCAGUGGCGAAGGCGGCCUGCUGGACGAUGACUGACGUUGAGGCUCGAAAGCGUGGGGAGCAAACAGGAUUAGAUACCCGGGUAUUA
rnacentral:rRNA from 1 species